AGCUGGGAGAUGUCGCUCCUGAUGUGGUGCUUUCAGAGGCGAGCUCAGCUCAGACCUUUCACAGCUGCGCAGAGCGCGCAGACCUCACAGUCCACACAUGCGCCUUCCUGCUCAGAAGGAGAACCGAAUAGGGGCCAGCGUUGUCGAGAAGGAUGCGGGCUUGUGCGCAUGAAAAAGGAGCACAGCUGCGUGGAGGCGCUGCGCGCCUUCGCCGACGGGCUGGAGGACAGAGCCGCGAGCCUGGAGCAUGAGGCCCGGAUGGCGAAGCUCAGGUGGAACAGGCGGGAACAGUUUCUUUUAUCUCAGGUGAGCACUCUGCAGAACGAGACGCAGAUCGCUGCGCUCAGGUACCAGCGGAGACUCCACCAGUACCUGCUGCACACCAGCAGCAUCGCUGCACAGAUUGUUGGAUUCUGCCAGGUGAGGGUUCAGACAAGGUUCAUGGCAUGCGUCAGCCGCUUGAUCACUGAAAUUAGCAGUAAACAAGGAUUUUAUUGCAAGAAGGCAAUCGGUAUGGGAAGAGGGAGGAAGAGAGGAAUUUGGCUUGGUGGAGAUGUAGAGCUGAGUGUGAAUGGGAAGGAGUUGUCCAAGUCCAGCCACGAUGAGACUGUGGAGGCCUUUCGGGCUGCCAGAGACCCCGUUGUGGUGCAGGUCAUCAGGCGUACCCCCAGCGGCCACCCACAUGGCCUCCCUCAGGAAAUCCAUGUGGUGGACGUGUGCACUCAGACCGACAUCACCUUUGAACACAUCAUGGCUCUGGCAAAGCUCCGACCUACAACCCCCCCAGUGCCUGACGUCUGUCCCUUCCUGCUCUCUGAUAGGUAUUCCUCAAAAAAUACCCCAGGGACAGACUACCUUUCAGGUGUUCCAGCUGAAGGAGACCGGACAGAGGAAUAUGAGUAUGAAGAAGUUGAACUUUGCCGACUCAGCAGUCACGAGAAAUUGGGGUUGACUCUUUGCUACAGGACAGAUGAAGAAGAGGACAUGGCCAUUUAUGUCAGUGAGGUCUGUCCAAACAGCAUUGCUGCCAAUGAUGGACGGAUCCGAGAGGGGGAUCGCAUUUUACAGAUUAAUGGCCAAGAUGUCAAAGACAGAGAGGAAGCGAUGGCGGCACUCUUCAACGACGAAAGUAGGAACAUCGUCCUCCUAGUUGCCAGACCUGACAUGCAGGUUAGAAACCCCCACCAAUUUCUGAGGAACAGUCAUGAAGACGACAGGCCCUCCUGUUCCACAGUGCCUCAUCAAAGGGACAGUAUGAAAGACAGAAAACCAAGUUCAGAGCAUAACGUUUUGGCGCAAAUUCAGAGACGCCUGUCCCAGUGCCUCAGAGACAAUCGGAACUCUCGCUGCACUGCCAGUUCCACAAGACUGGAGGAAAAGGACGAGGAAGAGGAGGACAACAUAGAAACUGAGAGUGACAGUUAUCGGCAACUACUGGAGCUAAAAUGUCAGAUACGCAACAGCGGCGAGUAUGACCUCUUCUACAGCCGGCGCAGCACCAUCGAGUGCAGUAUGGCAGAGCAGAGCAGCGUACAGCACGAGCUCCGCCUGCUCAAUGAGGAGCUGCGCAGCAUCGAGCUUGAGUGUCAGAACAUCAUGCAGGCUCAUAAGCUUCGGAAGGGCCAGGAGUCUCCAGUAAAGGGCCUUUCCGUGCCUUCCCCCAGAGGUCCACACUGUGAAGAGUCCACAAGGGGCAAGCUGGCUGACAAUAAUGAAAGGCUGGAGAAAUCGGACAAGGACAGCUCCAGUGCCUAUAACACUGCAGAGAGUUCGCGGAGUACUCCUCUGGCGAUGGAUCGCUCCCCCGAGCACUCGCUCCAGAGAAUGGUGAGCCUCACUAACCAGAGAAACCUGUGCAGUGGACUUGCAGGUCCCUCAGUCAUUACUGCAAGUCGUGCUCCAACAGUGGGGAAGAGCAGCAGCCCCGACCACAGCAAUCCUUCAGAGACAGACCAGAUGCCUCAGGCUGAAGACGAAAGCAAAAAGAUUACACAGUGUACCUCUCGGAUUCCUUACUUCUCUCCUUCUCACAGUUCCCAGCAAAGGCAGGUUAACAUCCCGGCUCAUGCCAGCCAUUACCAGAGCUACAUGCAGCUAAUCCAGCAACACUCAGCUGUGGAAUACGCUCAGAGCCAACUCAGCCUCCUUAGCAUUUGUAAAGAGCCUCAGCGACCUAUUAAUGAGCCCAAAAUGGAGUGGAAGGUCAAAAUCAGAAGCGACGGCACUCGUUACAUCACCAAGAGGCCUGUAAGAGACAAGAUCCUGAGGGAGCGAGCCUUAAAGAUUAAAGAAGAACGCAGCGGCGGCAUGACUACGGAUGAUGAUGCCAUGAGUGAAAUGAAGAUGGGGAGGUACUGGAGUAAAGAGGAAAGAAAGCAGCACCUUGUCAGGGCAAAAGAGCAGAGGAGGAGGCGGGAAUUCAUGCAGCGUAGUCGACUGGAAAGCUUGAGGGAAAACCCGCAGAGCAGCAAUGAAGGUCGCAAGGAAGUCAGCAUCAUAGAGCUCAGCCACAAAAAGAUGAUGAAGAAACGCAACAAGAAGAUCUUGGAUAGCUGGAUGACAAUCCAGGAGCUGAUGACUCACGGUGCGAAGGCGCCCGAGGGUGCAAACGUGAACAAUGCCUUCCUUUCAGUCACUACUGUAUAA
ensembl:lncRNA